rnacentral:rRNA from 1 species
UGGACGAAAGUCUGAUGGAGCAACGCCGCGUGAGUGAAGAAGGGUUUCGGCUCGUGAAACUCUGUUGUUAAAGAAGAACAUAUCUGAGAGUAACUGUUCAGGUAUUGACGGUAUUUAACCAGAAAGCCACGGCUAACUACGUGCCAGCAGCCGCGGUAAUACGUAGGUGGCAAGCGUUGUCCGGAUUUAUUGGGCGUAAAGCGAGCGCAGGCGGUUUUAAGUCUGAUGUGAAAGCCUUCGGCUCAACCGAAGAAGUGCAUCGGAAACUGGGAAACUUGAGUGCAGAAGAGGACAGUGGAACUCCAUGUGUAGCGGUGAAAUGCGUAGAUAUAUGGAAGAACACCAGUGGCGAAGGCGGCUGUCUGGUCUGUAACUGACGCUGAGGCUCGAAAGUAUGGGUAGCAAACAGGAUUAGAUACCCUGGUAG